ensembl:lncRNA
GUGGUUGUUGUUUCACAUGAAAACAGUGUUUAUCUACUUUACUUCCAACCUUACGACCCCACGUCCCCCCCCACUGCUUUCCCUCUUCUCAAAUUUUGAGUAAGCAUGCACCAAAGGUCAGCACACACACACACACACAUACAAACAAACGUGCACGCAUGUGCGGCGGCAUACCAGGAAACAGUGGCAUGAAUCACUUGUUCUCUUUUUUCAAAUCUGUCUACCUCAGCUCUUCUUAAUCAGAUGAUGAUCACAGGAAGUGGAAAGGAGAACGAUGGCUGCUGCUGAUAGACAAUGCCCACAGAUGACCUCAGUUCCACAAUAUGUCAGCUCAACAGCCAAUCAGCAGACAGAUAGUCAGUAGAUGAGCGACAUGGGGAGCUGCCAACCAAGUGGAGGCAGGCCCUUCUGACCAUUCAAAGUCUUUAUCCUUGAAUACCACAUCAGCACAUCAUUCAUGGUGGACUACACAGACUCGGCAUUGACUCCAGCUAACACGGAAAUGUCAAACUUCAGAGCCAUGUGAAUUAGGGGAAGGAGGAAGGAGGAACUAAAAGGCACUCAGAGGAGCUCGGGGACGGCCGACACUGGGAAAGAGCUAAGAGAGAUCGAGAAAGAGAAUAGUGCUUAAGAACUCCAGCCGCCAAGUACCAGUGUUUCACACAGAGGAAGCCGAAUAUGGGGGUCAAAGAUGUGCUUGUUAACCUUUGGGUGCUUAGUGCUGCUGUGCAGAUAAGACACGCUUCUACAGGCUUGUCGGUGAGCCCCAAUGUCACGGCAACAUGUGGUCAGUCCGUCACGCUUCACUGCAAUGUCUCCUCGAACCAAGGGCGGGUCUACCACCUGUCCUGGAUCAAAGACAACAUCACCCUGUGCAAAGUCAAGGACGACCACCUGGUCGUCGACGAGCAACCUACCAGCAACGUAGAGUGUCGCUACGCCAACAAAAGCAUGUUUGUCACCUUUCGGCAAACCUCAAAAGAGCAGCAAGAACGCGCUUUGGACGAAUACAUCUGCAAACUGCGCUCCUAUCAGGGACCUGCCAUUAAGAAGACAUGGGUGGAGUUGAAAGAGUGUAUCCAGCAUGUGGAUCAAAUCGGGACGGCCAAGGUUCCAACGUGCAGCUUCACGGGGGUCCGUCAUGACGGAGACGUGCACUGGUACCGGGAGGACACCAGGCUGACGGAGGACGAUGCCGUGAUUGAGAAAAAGGAGAGUGUGGACAAGGAAUGCUGCCUGACCAUCAUCAGCUCUCUGAAGCCGAAAAAGGAUUCUACGGGGCCCUACACCUGCUCCCUGUGGAACAGCCAAUCCCAAAAUUACACCGCAAACCAUACAUUCCCACAUAUUUGAUCAUCAGAACAAUCCACGUCUGGAUCAGGGAUGCUCCAAGGUCGUUGGAGUAUUGGGAAUUGUUUAAUUAUAUCCGUGCUACUGACGUCCUUGUAGACACACACACACACACAUUCCAUGUUUUAGUCCAAAGUGCCAGGAGCAGAACUGAAACGGACAUGGCGACACUGACAGGGUAUACAGUGCAAAUGUCAAGACACCUUUGGACAUCUUUUUGGGAGAUAAAGGUAUGCUAUUCAACGAUGAACUUUGGAAAAGAUAAGCGUUGACUGGAGGACAAUGGAAAAUCGUUAGCUGUAAUAACAAAGCCUGCAAUGGGCAGGGGGGGGAACUUGCAGGUGAAUAGCCUAGAGAGUCAACUGGGAGUUGUAGGGCUUCAGUUUAAACUCAUCCACUUUACAUUAAAGUUGAACACCACUAUAGCAGAGCCACUUAAAUUCUUUCUGUAGGUUAAAGGGCAGAGACUGUAAUCUCUAUGGCCGCCUGUGUGAGUACAAGAGGCAGUACUCCGGCAAUACUUAGUGAUUACUUGCUGCCAUCUAGGGGAGAAGUUGAGGUUAGUUUAUUUGAUUGCUAAAAAUGCUACAUUGAAUGUAUCCUGAUAAAAUGAAACAAUUCCACUUAUUUUUUAAUGCAUGUGUGUUACAUCUGUGUCUAAUUAUGAGGCCAUGCAUCUUUAUGUACCAGGGCAAUUAACUAAACUAGUAACUAACUAACUAUACAUAAAUGAAACACCAUCAAACCUAGCCCAUGCUAGGGACUAUAUUCAUGCUAGCUGUGUUUUCGCUGCGAGGACAGCUCUUUGAAAGGACCAUGGUGCAUGGCUUUGCGAGUUAAGUCUACUAGCCGUGCCCUGGUACAUGAAAGGAGCAGACCUGUUGUGAGGGACACCUGUGUUUUACCUAUGCUGACGCCUCUGCGGAAAGGUCAAAGUGCAGACCUUGCUUAUUAUUUGGAAGAUUGCCUGGUUUAGGGAGGGGGGUUGGAUGAAUGUGUCAUUGGUGUCCGGAUGGGAGCCGGAGAGGAGGAGGGCACCUUGAGAAUUGGCCAAUGGUUGAUGGAGGUCCCUGCACUGAUGAUGGUUCACUCUGGAUGGAUCCCUCAUCAUCUGGCUAUGUCGUAUCAGUACCUGAAAGGGCUGUAGGCCACUACUGGCCGAUUUGAGGAGGUUAUUUUUUAGCUUUUAUUAUUUGAUACUGCAACCUACAUGUUGGUACUGAUGUGUAUAUAAAAAAAUAUAAAUGACUGGAAAACGUGUGGACUGGACUAAUCUGUUUGUAUAAUUGGAUAAGCUGCAAUUAUCAGAUGAAAUUAUGAUUGUUUUAGUGUUUUUUACAAUGCAUAUAACAUAUUCAUUUUAAUUUUUAUCGUGUUGGAUUUUUUCAAUAAAAUAAUUCAUUCAACACUACUGUACAUCAAUGGUCCUUUAUUGGAAAUAUGAAUUAUUAAAUAGCAGGUCUUGUGUUUCUCGUAUCAACGUUAUUCUUUUUGACAGAGUGAACCACGUCAAGUAUAUUUAAUUUACAACCUUUUAUUAUUGUUUUUUAAAAUAUGAAAUAGCUUCAAAGAAUUUGCAAGGGAACUUUCAAAGGAUAGGACUACAGCACACUGCGAAUCACAAGAGAAAAACAAAAGACCAAAGAGAAGAAAUAAAUAAGGAUUACAGUGAAUUUCAAAGUGAAAUAUAUGAGGAUAACUUAAAGGGAUGACAUUAU